rnacentral:rRNA from 1 species
UACGUAGGGGGCAAGCGUUGUCCGGAUUUAUUGGGCGUAAAGAGCUCGUAGGCGGCUUGUCGCGUCGACUGUGAAAUCCCGCGGCUCAACUGCGGGUCUGCAGUCGAUACGGGCAGGCUAGAGUUCGGUAGGGAGACGUGGAAUUCCUGGUGUAGCGGUGAAAUGCGCAGAUAUCAGGAGGAACACCGAUGGCGAAGGCAGGUCUCUGGGCCGAUACUGACGCUGAGGAGCGAAAGCGUGGGGAGCGAACAGG